GAUGAACGCUAGCGGCAGGCCUAAUACAUGCAAGUCGAACGCUCAGUAGCAAUACUGGGAGUGGCGCACGGGUGCGUAACGCGUACACAAUCUACCUCUAAGCGGGGACACCUCCUGGAACGGGGAUUAAUACCGCAUAAUAUGCCGAGGUCGCAUGACUUUGGUAUUAAAGCAGCAAUGCACUUAGAGAUGAGUGUGCGUCCCAUUAGGUAGUUGGUGAGGUAACGGCUCACCAAGCCUAUGAUGGGUAGCCGGUCUGAGAGGAUGGUCGGCCACACGGGCACUGAGACACGGGCCCGACGUCCUACGGGAGG
rnacentral:rRNA from 1 species